CCGUAGUCAUCUCUUUGUCGUAGUAUUGCGCAUGUUACCAAAAUAAGCAAGUAACAUGAUACACAUAUCGCUGGUAGACUAAUUAAGUGGGGCUUAUUGAAUCAAAUAUUUGUUAGAAUUCAAGAUUUAAGUAAAUCCAAAAAAACCGAGAUUCGAGUAAAUCCUAAAAAGAUUUGUUACAAGUUUUAAGAUUUUUUUUAAGACAUUUCAAAGUUUUUGAAAAAAAUUAAAAUUUUAAAUAUUAUUUUUAUUUUUAAAUUACUAUAAUUUGUAUUUUUAUCAUUUAUGAAAUAUAUAAAAUAUAUAAAAGUUUUAAAAUUUAAUUUUUCAAAUAACUUAAUUUUUAUUUUUUUCAUUUAAAUAGAUUGAUUUUCUUUUAAAAAUGUGAAGUAAUUUUUUUUAUUUUUUUUUUUAAGUUUCAAAUACCAUUAUAGGAGGUGAUAUUUCAAUUCUUUGUUUUUCCACUAUGAAAUAUCAUCCAAAGUCCACCAAAUCUCAUUUGAUAAAUUUUAUUGACAAAAUCCAUAUUUUCC
rnacentral:lncRNA from 1 species